rnacentral:rRNA from 1 species
GAUGAACGCUGACAGAAUGCUUAACACAUGCAAGUCAACUUGAAUUUGGGUUUUUAACUUAGGUUUGGGUGGCGGACGGGUGAGUAACGCGUAAAGAACUUGCCUCACAGCUAGGGACAACAUUUGGAAACGAAUGCUAAUACCUAAUAUUAUGAUAAUAGGGCAUCCUAUAAUUAUGAAAGCUAUAAGCGCUGUGAGAGAGCUUUGCGUCCCAUUAGCUAGUUGGAGAGGUAACGGCUCACCAAGGCGAUGAUGGGUAGCCGGCCUGAGAGGGUGAUCGGCCACAAGGGGACUGAGACACGGCCCUUACUCCUACGGGAGGCAGCAGUGGGGAAUAUUGGACAAUGGACCAAGAGUCUGAUCCAGCAAUUCUGUGUGCACGAUGAAGUUUUUCGGAAUGUAAAGGGCUUUCAGUUGGGAAGAAAGAAAUGACGGCACCAACAGAAGAAGUGACGGCUAAAUACGUG